CAUGACAAAAGACAAGGGUCAGGACAUGGAUUACUCCAUGUAAACUUUUUGCACCAACCACCAUCGCAACGAAAAUCCGCAGGAGAAGAGUAAAAACCAACCUCUCACCUCCUCGCCGGUGCUGAGGACGGGCGAGCCAUCAGCCAUGGAGGCAGAAGCCAUGGCAAUGGCUUGCAGCCCGGCGGCCGGCUCCGGUGGCAAGAAAGACGACGAUGGCCGCCACCAGUAGCACUAGCACGACGACCUGCCGACGAUUUGUGGUCGGCAUUCACUAGUAGAACAUCGAAAGUUCAAGAUACAUGAAGUUUACCGAGUCUGCAGCAGCCUGCAAUGUAACGUGGUCACCCCACUCUCCACUCCUGGUUGCAUUGUUUACGCAUGACGAAAUGAGGACAUGUAUUUAAAGUACAAACUAAACAUCUUGUUAUAAAUAGAGAGCAGAGAAAAUACCCA